UCUCCGUAGGUGAACCUGCGGAGGGAUCAUUACUGAGUGAGGGCUCCGGCCCGAUCUCCAACCCCAUGUGAACCGAAACCUGUUGCUUCGGGGGCGACCCUGCCUUCGUGCGAGGCGCCCCCGGAGGCUCAUCAAACACUGCAUCUCUGCGUCGGAGUCUUAAUGAAUUUAAACAAAACUUUUAACAACGGAUCUCUUGGUUCCAGCAUCGAUGAAGAACGCAGC
rnacentral:misc_RNA from 1 species